rnacentral:rRNA from 1 species
GGUUAAGCGACUAAGCGUACACGGUGGAUGCCCUGGCAGUCAGAGGCGAUGAAGGGCGUGCUAAUCUGCGAUAAGCGCCGGUAAGGUGAUAUGAACCGUUAUAACCGGCGAUACCCGAAUGGGGAAACCCAGUGUGACUCGUCACACUAUCAUUAACUGAAUCCAUAGGUUAAUGAGGCGAACCGGGGGAACUGAAACAUCUAAGUACCCCGAGGAAAAGAAAUCAACCGAGAUUCCCCCAGUAGCGGCGAGCGAACGGGGAGGAGCCCAGAGCCUGAAUCAGCAUGUGUGUUAGUGGAAGCGUCUGGAAAGGCGCGCGAUACAGGGUGACAGCCCCGUACACAAAAGCGCAUGUGCUGUGAGCUCGAUGAGUAGGGCGGGACACGUGGUAUCCUGUCUGAAUAUGGGGGGACCAUCCUCCAAGGCUAAAUACUCCUGACUGACCGAUAGUGAACCAGUACCGUGAGGGAAAGGCGAAAAGAACCCCGGCGAGGGGAGUGAAAAAGAACCUGAAACCGUGUACGUACAAGCAGUGGGAGCACAGGUUUACCUGUGUGACUGCGUACCUUUUGUAUAAUGGGUCAGCGACUUAUAUUCUGUAGCAAGGUUAACCGCAUAGGGGAGCCGGAGGGAAACCGAGUCUUAAUUGGGCGUUAAGUUGCAGGGUAUAGACCCGAAACCCGGUGAUCUAGCCAUGGGCAGGUUGAAGGUUGGGUAACACUAACUGGAGGACCGAACCGACUAAUGUUGAAAAAUUAGCGGAUGACCUGUGGCUGGGGGUGAAAGGCCAAUCAAACCGGGAGAUAGCUGGUUCUCCCCGAAAGCUAUUUAGGUAGCGCCUCGUGAAUUCAUCUCCGGGGGUAGAGCACUGUUUCGGCUAGGGGGCCAUCCCGGCUUACCAACCCGAUGCAAACUGCGAAUACCGGAGAAUGUUAUCACGGGAGACACACGGCGGGUGCUAACGUCCGUCGUGAAGAGGGAAACAACCCAGACCGCCAGCUAAGGUCCCAAAGUCAUGGUUAAGUGGGAAACGAUGUGGGAAGGCCCAGACAGCCAGGAUGUUGGCUUAGAAGCAGCCAUCAUUUAAAGAAAGCGUAAUAGCUCACUGGUCGAGUCGGCCUGCGCGGAAGAUGUAACGGGGCUAAACCAUGCACCGAAGCUGCGGCAGCGACACUGUGUGUUGUUGGGUAGGGGAGCGUUCUGUAAGCCUGCGAAGGUGGCCUGUGAGGGUUGCUGGAGGUAUCAGAAGUGCGAAUGCUGACAUAAGUAACGAUAAAGCGGGUGAAAAGCCCGCUCGCCGGAAGACCAAGGGUUCCUGUCCAACGUUAAUCGGGGCAGGGUGAGUCGACCCCUAAGGCGAGGCCGAAAGGCGUAGUCGAUGGGAAACGGGUUAAUAUUCCCGUACUUGGUGUUACUGCGAAGGGGGGACGGAGAAGGCUAUGUUGGCCGGGCGACGGUUGUCCCGGUUUAAGCGUGUAGGUGUGUGUUCCAGGUAAAUCCGGUUCACUUUAACACUGAGGCGUGACGACGAGGCACUACGGUGCUGAAGCAACAAAUGCCCUGCUUCCAGGAAAAGCCUCUAAGCAUCAGGUAACAUCAAAUCGUACCCCAAACCGACACAGGUGGUCAGGUAGAGAAUACCAAGGCGCUUGAGAGAACUCGGGUGAAGGAACUAGGCAAAAUGGUGCCGUAACUUCGGGAGAAGGCACGCUGACACGUAGGUGAAGUGAUUUACUCAUGGAGCUGAAGUCAGUCGAAGAUACCAGCUGGCUGCAACUGUUUAUUAAAAACACAGCACUGUGCAAACACGAAAGUGGACGUAUACGGUGUGACGCCUGCCCGGUGCCGGAAGGUUAAUUGAUGGGGUCAGCGCAAGCGAAGCUCCUGAUCGAAGCCCCGGUAAACGGCGGCCGUAACUAUAACGGUCCUAAGGUAGCGAAAUUCCUUGUCGGGUAAGUUCCGACCUGCACGAAUGGCGUAAUGAUGGCCAGGCUGUCUCCACCCGAGACUCAGUGAAAUUGAACUCGCUGUGAAGAUGCAGUGUACCCGCGGCAAGACGGAAAGACCCCGUGAACCUUUACUAUAGCUUGACACUGAACAUUGAGCCUUGAUGUGUAGGAUAGGUGGGAGGCUUUGAAGUGUGGACGCCAGUCUGCAUGGAGCCGACCUUGAAAUACCACCCUUUAAUGUUUGAUGUUCUAACGUGGACCCGUAAUCCGGGUUGCGGACAGUGUCUGGUGGGUAGUUUGACUGGGGCGGUCUCCUCCUAAAGAGUAACGGAGGAGCACGAAGGUUGGCUAAUCCUGGUCGGACAUCAGGAGGUUAGUGCAAUGGCAUAAGCCAGCUUGACUGCGAGCGUGACGGCGCGAGCAGGUGCGAAAGCAGGUCAUAGUGAUCCGGUGGUUCUGAAUGGAAGGGCCAUCGCUCAACGGAUAAAAGGUACUCCGGGGAUAACAGGCUGAUACCGCCCAAGAGUUCAUAUCGACGGCGGUGUUUGGCACCUCGAUGUCGGCUCAUCACAUCCUGGGGCUGAAGUAGGUCCCAAGGGUAUGGCUGUUCGCCAUUUAAAGUGGUACGCGAGCUGGGUUUAGAACGUCGUGAGACAGUUCGGUCCCUAUCUGCCGUGGGCGCUGGAGAACUGAGGGGGGCUGCUCCUAGUACGAGAGGACCGGAGUGGACGCAUCACUGGUGUUCGGGUUGUCAUGCCAAUGGCACUGCCCGGUAGCUAAAUGCGGAAGAGAUAAGUGCUGAAAGCAUCUAAGCACGAAACUUGCCCCGAGAUGAGUUCUCCCUGAGACUUAGAGUCUCCUGAAGGAACGUUGAAGACGACGACGUUGAUAGGCCGGGUGUGUAAGCGCAGCGAUGCGUUGAGCUAACCGGUACUAAUGAACCGUGAGGCUUAACCUU